GUCAAAAUUUCGUCCCAAUCGGAGUUCGUUUGACGUCCCGAUCGAGGUUUGAUCUCCAGCUGCGCGCUGCCCCUGUUGAGCAGAAUUCGGCUCUGCUCUUCCUUUGUUCUUUGUGCUGUUUUGCUGCUUGCAGCUCCUCUGCCGCUGCUGUCUACCUUCUGCUGCUACUGCAGUCUGCUGCUGCUUUUAUACCUCAGCUGAUUUGCUGAAGAAUAAACCCUAACAAAAAUGGGUUCUUGGGCCUAUUAAAGCCCGAUAAAAGCCCAAUACAAUUUGAGCCCAACUUCCUCCAAAUUGGAGGGAUACCCAACAGUAGAUUAAUGUUGAUGCCCCUGUGAGCAAGGAGGGAUUGAGCGGCGACUUUCUAUGACAGCAAAGCCAAAUAAAUUCUUGGAUUUUUGGUAAUGCUGGGCACUUCCAAAUCCAAGACCAAGAAGCUUGAGAUGGAACUUUGGGGCUGUCAAGAAGAAGAGAGUAUGCUGUUUUUGUAGAUUAGAUCGAUCCCAUUUGAAGAAUGGCCCCAAACCGGUCGAUCUUCGAUAUCACUGGAUGAGCAGAUUGGGGUCCCAUGAAUAGUUUCCUGUAGCUUAUGAGGGACCGAGUAAGGGAUCUGGGAGAGCUCCCACGAUCUAGCUGAAUUGAUGACUGAAUCGAUAGUUGUCUCCUCUUCAAUCCAAGGUAGGGGUCCAUGUAGAUAAUUCCUUAAAGACUUCUUCCCCACCCAUACAUCAUUCCAGAAAUUUACUCAGGAUCCAUUGCCAAUAUAACCCACUUAGAUCCUUUAUCCUAAACCUGCAAGCCAGCUCUCAAAGUCUUCCAGUUGGUUGAUCCUUUCCAUAGGUUGUCUGGUCUGCGGUUAUGAAAUUUGUGGCGGAUGAGCCGAGCCAAGGGGCAUCCUCUGAUGCAGCUCUUUCCACCAGCUUCCCAAGACAAGCGUUGUUUCUAAGCUCGGCUCUUUGAAUCCCCAAUCCACCGGCCUCUUUGGGGAGGGUAACAAUAUCCUAAUUCACCAAGUGCAGUUUUCUCUUUUCAGAUGUAGAUCCCCAGAGGAAAUCCCGGCUCAAUUUGUGUAGGGCGCUGGUGAUGGACUGAGGGAGUGAAGUGCACUGCAUGGAAUAGGUUGGAAUGGCAGCCAUGACAGACUUUAUUAGGACGACCCUUCUCGCCUGUUAUAGGAGCUGGGAUUUCCAUCCCGUGAGUCUUUGACGGACUUUGUCCAUGAUGAAGGGGCAAUCCCCAAUUCUGCUAGGAUUUAAGUUGAUGGGAAAUCCCAAGUAUUCCCAAAUCCUCAGUUUGUUCAAUCCCCAAGAAGGAGUUGAGAAUGUUCAGGGUGGUUUUUGAGUUUGCUUGUCCAAGGAGAAUGAUAUCAUCUGCGAACAGUAACUGCGAGCAGCCAGGACAACCUUUGACCAGGACUGACUUCCGACCAUUGCUCAGCCCGUAUUGCGUCAUCGAUCAUGUUCGAGAGAUACUCCAUACACAAGAUAAAUACAUAAGGAGACAAAGGGUCCCCUUGUCAAAUUCCUCUCGAUGGUUUAAACUUCUCCAGGCAGCCUCCGCUGAACAUCGCAUAUUGAGGUCGAGGUUCCCCAUCCCAUUAUGACUUGAGUCCAUUUAGCUAGGAACCCAAAAUAAAACAUCGCCUUGCGUAGGAAGCUCGAUUCAAGCCUAUCAUAUUAUUUCUCAAGGUCCAAUUCGAGGGCAAAACUCCAUACUUUCCCUUUCUUGGUCUUGAAAGAGUGGAUGAUUUCCCGGAGAAUAAUGACAUUAUCUGGCACUCUUCUUCCUGGAAUGAAGCUGCACUGGAGAGGUGAUAUAAAUUCCUCGAGUAGUGGCCGUAUUCGUGCUACCAAGAUCUUGGAAAUGAUCUUGUAAAUGGUGUUGCACAAAUAAUCGGCUGAUACUGAGUGAUGGACUCUGUGGCUAAGCUUUUCAGGAUGAGUACGAGCAAAGUACGGUUGACUCCCUCAGGGAAGGAAGCAGUUUCAAAGAACCCUUGAACCAACGAGAUCACAGACAGCUUGACAAGGUCCCAACAUCUCUGAUAGAAGCAGGGGGAUAACCCAUCUAGGUUGGGAGACUUGAGGGCUUUUAGAGAAAAAAUAGCUCGUUUGGUUUCUGCCGGAGAACAAGGCCCAAUCAAUAUGUCCACAAAAGUUGAGUUUAGAGGCCUUCUCCAGGAAGGACUUGUAGGGAUGACCCACUCCGAGAAUUCUGUUUCCCUGCGGAACAUUGAGUGAAGUGGUUUUGGAUAUGAUCUUUAACGGCAUGAAUGUCGAAAA